UACGAAGGGGGCUAGCGUUGUCCGGAAUUACUGGGCGUAAAGCGAACGUAGGCGGUGUUCCAUGUCAGAGGUGAAAGCCUGGGGCUCAACUCCAGAAUUGCCUUUGAAACGGGAACGCUUGAGUCCGAGAGAGGGUGGCGGAAUUCCUAGUGUAGAGGUGAAAUUCGUAGAUAUUAGGAAGAACACCAGUGGCGAAGGCGGCCGCCUGGCUCGGUACUGACGCUCAGGUUCGAAAGCGUGGGGAGCAAACAGG
rnacentral:rRNA from 1 species